rnacentral:rRNA from 1 species
UACGAGGGGGGCAAGCGUUGUUCGGAAUUAUUGGGCGUAAAGGGUGCGUAGGCGGUUUGGUAAGUCUUAUGUGAAAUCUACAGGCUCAACUUGUAGUCUGCAUGAGAAACUGCCGGGCUUGAGUAUGGGAGAGGUGAGUGGAAUUCCUGGUGUAGCGGUGAAAUGCGUAGAUAUCAGGAGGAACACCUGUGGCGAAAGCGGCUCACUGGACCAUAACUGACGCUGAUACGCGAAAGCGUGGGGAGCGAACCGG